CGCGUAGGCGGAUAGUACAGUCAGGCGUGAAAUUCCUGGGCUCAACCUGGGGGCUGCGUUUGAUACGUAUUGUCUGGAGUUCGGAAGAGGGUCGUGGAAUUCCCAGUGUAGAGGUGAAAUUCGUAGAUAUUGGGAAGAACACCGGUGGCGAAGGCGGCGACCUGGUCCGAUACUGACGCUGAGGCGCGAAAGCGUGGGGAGCAAACA
rnacentral:rRNA from 1 species